rfam:Oryza meridionalis cultivar OR44 (W2112) chromosome 8, whole genome shotgun sequence.
AAAGAGUGCAUUUAUGCAUGGUUCAUGUCCAACGUUUGACCGUCCUUCUUAUUUUUAAAAAAAUAUAAUUAUUAUUUUUAUUGUUAUUCGUUGAUAAAGAAUAAAUAGUACCUUAUGUGUGACUAUUUUUUUUAUUUUUAUAAAUUUUUUAAAUAAAACAUACGGUCAAACGUUGGACAUGAAAACCCACAACCGCACUUAAA